ACAUGCAGUCGAACGGCAGCGCGGGGAGCUUGCUCCCUGGCGGCGAGUGGCGCACGGGUGAGUAAUACAUCGGAACGUGUCUUCUAGUGGGGGAUAACUGCCCGAAAGGGCAGCUAAUACCGCAUGAGACCUGAGGGUGAAAGCGGGGGAUCGCAAGACCUCGCGCUGGAAGAGCGGCCGAUGUCCGAUUAGCUAGUUGGUGAGGUAAAGGCUCACCAAGGCGACGAUCGGUAGCUGGUCUGAGAGGACGACCAGCCACACUGGGACUGAGACACGGCCCAGACUCCUACGGGAGGCAGCAGUGGGGAAUUUUGGACAAUGGGGGCAACCCUGAUCCAGCCAUGCCGCGUGCAGGAUGAAGGUCUUCGGAUUGUAAACUGCUUUUGUCAGGGACGAAAAGGGAUGCGAUAACACCGUAUUCCGCUGACGGUACCUGAAGAAUAAGCACCGGCUAACUACGUGCCAGCAGCCGCGGUAAUACGUAGGGUGCAAGCGUUAAUCGGAAUUACUGGGCGUAAAGCGUGCGCAGGCGGUUCUGUAAGAUAGAUGUGAAAUCCCCGGGCUCAACCUGGGAAUUGCAUAUAUGACUGCAGGACUUGAGUUUGUCAGAGGAGGGUGGAAUUCCACGUGUAGCAGUGAAAUGC
rnacentral:rRNA from 1 species